rnacentral:rRNA from 1 species
UACGUAGGUCGCAAGCGUUGUCCGGAUUUACUGGGCGUAAAGAGCGCGCAGGCGGCUGGUCAAGUCCGAUGUGAAAUCUCCCGGCUCAACUGGGAAACUGCAUCGGAAACUGAUCGGCUUGAAGAUGGGAGAGGGUAGUGGAAUUCCCGGUGUAGUGGUAAAAUGCGUAGAUAUCGGGAGGAACACCAGUGGCGAAGGCGACUACCUGGCCCAUUCUUGACGCUGAGGCGCGAAAGCUAGGGGAGCGAACGGG